AGAGUUUGAUCCUGGCUCAGAGCGAACGCUGGCGGCAGGCCUAACACAUGCAAGUCGAACGAACUCUUCGGAGUUAGUGGCGGACGGGUGAGUAACACGUGGGAACGUGCCUUUAGGUUCGGAAUAACUCAGGGAAACUUGUGCUAAUACCGAAUGUGCCCUUCGGGGGAAAGAUUUAUCGCCUUUAGAGCGGCCCGCGUCUGAUUAGCUAGUUGGUGAGGUAAAGGCUCACCAAGGCGACGAUCAGUAGCUGGUCUGAGAGGAUGAUCAGCCACAUUGGGACUGAGACACGGCCCAAACUCCUACGGGAGGCAGCAGUGGGGAAUCUUGCGCAAUGGGCGCAAGCCUGAUCCAGCCAUGCCGCGUGGGUGAAGAAGGCCUUCGGGUUGUAAAGCCCUUUUGUCCGGAAAGAAAAGCAUCGGGCUAAUACCUCGGUGUUCUGACGGUACCGGAAGAAUAAGCACCGGCUAACUUCGUGCCAGCAGCCGCGGUAAUACGAAGGGGGCAAGCGUUACUCGGAAUUACUGGGCGUAAAGCGUGCGUAGGUGGUUCGUUAAGUCUGAUGUGAAAGCCCUGGGCUCACCUGGGAAUUGCAUUGGAUACUGGCGAGCUAGAGUGCGGUAGAGGAUGGCGGAAUUCCCGGUGUAGCAGUGAAAUGCGUAGGGAUCGGGAGGAACAUCUGUGGCGAAGGCGGCCAUCUGGACCAGCACUGACACUGAGGCACGAAAGCGUGGGGAGCAAACAGGAUUAGAUACCCUGGUAGUCC
rnacentral:rRNA from 1 species